UACCAAAAUAGUAAAAUCCCCAGAUCCGUUCCUGGCCGAGAGUAGAAUAGCAGAUCCCUCCCUCCCAACUGAAAUCGCCGUCGCCCUUCCUUGCUCCGAUCGCGAUUCCCGAUCCCGCCGCCCGCCGCACCGCACCGCACGUCCGAGAUCCUUCUCAGAGAACCGCUUUGGAAUUGUUGAAGCCAAGUUUUACAUUGGUUGCUGCAGGAUACGAUAAGAGAGAAAAUGGGUUACAUUGGGGCUCAUGGUGUUGCAGCUUUGCAUAAACACAAAUAUAGUGGCGUAGAUCAUUCCUAUGUGGCCAAAUAUAUACUACAGCCCUUUUGGAGUCGCUUUGUUAAUUUUUUCCCCCUAUGGAUGCCUCCAAACGCGAUAACUCUUACAGGAUUUAUGUUCUUACUAUUGUCUACAUUUUUUGGCUAUAUAUACGCACCUCAAUUGGAUACAGCUCCUCCAAGAUGGGUUCAUUUUGCACAUGGUCUGCUUCUGUUUUUAUACCAGACAUUUGAUGCUGUUGAUGGGAAGCAAGCUAGACGAACAAAUUCUUCAAGCCCAUUGGGGGAGCUGUUUGAUCACGGAUGCGAUGCACUUGCUUGUACAUUGGAAGCACUGGCCUUUGGGAGCACAUCCAUGUGUGGAAGAAGUACUUUCUGGUGGUUGGUUAUGUCUACAGUUACAUUUUAUGGUGCAACCUGGGAGAACUAUUUCACCCAUACCCUUACCCUGCCUGUUGUGAAUGGACCUACAGAGGGUCUUAUGCUAAUAUACCUUGCUCACUUUUUCACUGCUAUUGUGGGUGCUGAGUGGUGGGUUCAGCUAUUUGGAAAGUCUCUGCCUUUUUUGAAUUGGUUGCCUUUUCUUGCGGAUAUCCCAACAUACAGAGCAGUGAUGUAUUUGAUGAUAGCUUUUGGUGUUAUACCAACAGUCACAUUCAAUGUUUAUAAUGUUUAUAAGGUUGUGAAGGCAAGAAACGGAAGCAUGCCACUUGCAUUGGCAAUGCUUUACCCAUUUAUUGUACUCGUGGGAGGAGUACUUGUGUGGGAUUAUUUGUCACCAUCUGAUAUCAUAGGGAGCUAUCCGCAUUUAGUUAUUAUAGGAACAGGACUUGCUUUUGGAUAUCUUGUGGGAAGGAUGAUUUUGGCCCACGUAUGCGAUGAACCUAAGGGCUUAAAAACCGGAAUGUGCAUGUCCCUCAUGUAUCUCCCAUUUGCCAUUGCAAAUGCGCUUGCAUCAAGGCUAAAUGAUGGGGUUCCUUUAGUGAAUGAGAGACUAGUUCUUCUUGGUUACUGUGCAUUUACAGGGACGGUUUACAUGCAUUUCGCAACGUCUGUCAUUCAUGAAAUUACAAAUGCCCUGGGAAUAUAUUGCUUCAGGAUAACUAGGAAGGAAGCUUGAAUGAACUCAAGAUUUCCUUUAGCUUUCAAGUCAAGAGAAAUGUACUGGCAAGACUUUGUAAUGCUAUUGUGUCAAUUUUUCCAAUAUGCAGCUGCCACAAAUUAAAAGUUGAGUUGCCAUGAGCACUAAUGCCAUCGUUGGCUAUCGAGGUGUUAAACUUGGUCGCAACUCGUUUUCAGCACAUGUGUCUUAUUGCUCAAGAAGUUCUCAGCCUCUAGUUCAAUUUCGUUCACAAGAAAUAGGAGUUUUAAUUCAAAUAUGUUGGCUAUAAGCCUAUAACCUAUGAUUACACUAUUAUCUAUGAUAGAUUUUGUUUGAACGGAGUGCAAAAUCAGUGCUUAGAAGUUCCUUAGAGUGAUAUCAAUAAUUUUCAAUCUGAUGGAAAUAAUUAUUCGCUUACUGUAA